rnacentral:lncRNA from 1 species
CUUUUAGUUGCAAAAAAUCCCCUUGGAUUUUUUUAAUACUUUGCAGAAAAAGCUAUGGAUUUAUGGAUUUUUAACCCUCUGGUAGUUUUGCAUCAUUAAAUGUAGAUGCAAACACCUAGUUUUAAAGCUGGCAAUCACUUUCAAAUCUCCUCCAGUGAACCCCUCCCAAAUGCUGCUAGCUGUAAAUCUAAGGAAAAAAUUUUGAUGACUUAGUUUUUAACAACCACGUUCUCUGGAAGUUCUCUGAAAUCGUUAGCUGAUUCUCAGCAUCGCAGAAGCUGGCCAUGAUUUGCUUUAUUCAGCAUCCAAGCUCUCUCCUGCCCUGGUGAGCCCCAGUUGCAGGCAUGGCAGAGACACGUGCAGGACAGCCUCAUGACUCCUGCUCCCACCUCUAGCCGUACUGACUCCACAAAAUGUUCUUUCUGAGAAGAUAUUCGAGAAGUGUUUGGGUCUCCAGUACCUUGUGUGGAAGAUCUAACAGAGAUAGAUCACAUUUCAAAGCAGAUGAUCCUUUUGCUGUAUUUGGAUCCUGA